rnacentral:rRNA from 1 species
AGCAUAUCAAUAAGCGGAGGAAAAGAAACCAACAGGGAUUGCCCUAGUAACGGCGAGUGAAGCGGCAACAGCUCAAAUUUGAAAUCUGGCUACUUUGUAGUCCGAAUUGUAAUUUGUAGAGGAUGCUUUUGGGUGAGGUGCUUUCUGAGUUCCCUGGAACGGGACGCCAGAGAGGGUGAGAGCCCCGUACAGUUAGCAACCGAUCCUUUGUAUAGCUCCUUCGACGAGUCGAGUAGUUUGGGAAUGCUGCUCUAAAUGGGAGGUAUAUCUCUUCUAAAGCUAAAUAUAGGCUAGAGACCGAUAGCGCACAAGUAGAGUGAUCGAAAGAUGAAAAGCACUUUGAAAAGAGAGUUAAACAGCACGUGAAAUUGUUGAAAGGGAAGCGCCUAUGACCAGACUUGUUUCUAUCAGUUUUGGUAGUUUUCGGACUGCUUUACUCUGUUAGUACAGGCCAACAUCAGUUUGUUGUCGGGGAGAAAGGCUUAGGGAAUGUGGCUCCCUCGGGAGUGUUAUAGACCUUUGCAUAAUACCCUUCGGCAGACUGAGGACCGCGCUUCGGCAAGGAUGUUGGCGUAAUGGUUAUCAGCGACCCGUCUUGAAACACGGACCAAGGAGUCAACCUUAUAUGCGAGUGUUUGGGUGUAAAACCCCAGCGCGUAAUGAAAGUGAACGUAGGUGAGAGCUUCGGCGCAUCAUCGACCG